GUUUGAUCCUGGCUCAGGACGAACGCUGGCGGCGUGCUUAACACAUGCAAGUCGAGCGGAAAGGCCCUUCGGGGUACUCGAGCGGCGAACGGGUGAGUAACACGUGAGCAACCUGCCCUAGGCUUUGGGAUAACCCCGGGAAACCGGGGCUAAUACCGAAUAUGACCAUUGGCCGCAUGGCUGGUGGUGGAAAGUUUUUCGGCCUGGGAUGGGCUCGCGGCCUAUCAGCUUGUUGGUGGGGUGAUGGCCUACCAAGGCGACGACGGGUAGCCGGCCUGAGAGGGCGACCGGCCACACUGGGACUGAGACACGGCCCAGACUCCUACGGGAGGCAGCAGUGGGGAAUAUUGCACAAUGGGCGGAAGCCUGAUGCAGCGACGCCGCGUGAGGGAUGACGGCCCUUCGGGUUGUAAACCUCUUUCAGCAGGGACGAAGCGAAAGUGACGGUACCCUGCAGAAGAAGCACCGGCCAACUACGUGCCAGCAGCCGCGGUAAGACGUAGGGUGCGAGCGUUGUCCGGAAUUAUUGGGCGUAAAGAGCUCGUAGGCGGCUUGUCGCGUCGACUGUGAAAACCCGCAGCUCAACUGCGGGCCUGCAGUCGAUACGGGCAGGCUAGAGUUCGGUAGGGGAGACUGGAAUUCCUGGUGUAGCGGUGAAAUGCGCAGAUAUCAGGAGGAACACCGAUGGCGAAGGCAGGUCUCUGGGCCGAUACUGACGCUGAGGAGCGAAAGCGUGGGGAGCGAACAGGAUUAGAUACCCUGGUAGUCCACGCUGUAAACGUUGGGCGCUAGGUGUGGGGGACCUCUCCGGUUUCCUGUGCCGCAGCUAACGCAUUAAGCGCCCCGCCUGGGGAGUACGGCCGCAAGGCUAAAACUCAAAGGAAUUGACG
rnacentral:rRNA from 1 species